rnacentral:rRNA from 1 species
UACGUAGGGUGCGAGCGUUGUCCGGAAUUAUUGGGCGUAAAGAGCGUGUAGGCGGCCAGGUAGGUCUGCUGUGAAAACUCGAGGCUCAACCUCGAGACGUCGGCGGAAACCAUCUGGCUAGAGUCCGGAAGAGGAGAGUGGAAUUCCUGGUGUAGCGGUGAAAUGCGCAGAUAUCAGGAGGAACACCAAUGGCGAAGGCAGCUCGCUGGGACGGUACUGACGCUGAGACGCGAAAGCGUGGGGAGCAAACAGG